AGCUAAAUUCCUCCACCCUUAAUUGCGUUUAGUAGUCAAGUGGAUUAACUUCACUCACACGCAAUUUUUAUAAACCCUAAGUUCAUUCAUAAACCCUAAGUUCAUCCAUAAAUCCUAAGUUCAUUCAAAAACCCUAAGUUCAUCUAGAAACCCUAAGUUCAUCCAAAAACCCUAAGUUCAUCCAUAAACCCUAAGUUCAUCCAUAAACCCUAAGUUCAUCCAUAAACCCUAAGUUCAUCCAUAAACCCUAAGUUCAUCCAUAAACCCUAAGUUCAUUCAUCCUAAAUUUCCCUUCAUCAAUCAUCCAUCCCUUAAAUCUCAUUCAUCCUAUAACAUCCAUUCAAAGUUUGUUCAUCUAAUUUUCAUCUAAAGAUUCAUUCAUCCAAAUAUUAUUCAACUUAUCAUCCAACUGACAAUUCGUGCAAUUGACCUAAUUCAUCCAAGAUUCAUCCUAAAAAUUAAAGAAAAUUGGAAGUCGCCACCUUCCAAGUCAUGGUAGCAACCCCCUUGCACGAAUUUCACUACAAUGGUUGCAUCACUAACUUGUUUAUAACAAGCUUUGCUAUUUUAGAAAGUAGACUUACAAGCGCUUGUCCUCCAACAAAAUUCAAUGCAAAACAACAAUUAAGCUAAGAGAAAUCUUGCCUCAAAGUUGCCUGACUUUCUCGGCCUAGUCAGAGCAUCCCUGGCCACAAAAACCCUUGCCCUUGCUCCAUUCCAGUUGUGCAAUGCAUAUGCUUUAGCAUUCCAGAAACUAGAAUUGAAGCCGCAUCACCUCCAACAAUUUUUUCUUGAAAAUCUUGAGUGAAUUCCAAGAUAUAACCUUCCAAAAAAGCUUGAGUUGGCGGAGUGCUACAUCUUCACCACGGCCGACUCCUCUUCACUCCAACCACCAUAACUUCCUUGGUCUUUACUCAAUCUAAGCGUGCAAAUAGUCCUUGCAAAGCUGACAACAAGAACCAUCCC
rnacentral:lncRNA from 1 species